rnacentral:rRNA from 1 species
UACGGGGGGGGCAAGCGUUGUUCGGAAUUACUGGGCGUAAAGGGCUCGUAGGUGGCCAACUAAGUCAGACGUGAAAUCCCUCGGCUUAACCGGGGAACUGCGUCUGAUACUGGAUGGCUUGAGGUUGGGAGAGGGACGCGGAAUUCCAGGUGUAGCGGUGAAAUGCGUAGAUAUCUGGAGGAACACCGGUGGCGAAGGCGGCGUCCGGGACCGACAUUGACGCUGAGGAGCGAAAGCUAGGGGAGCAAACGGG